AUGGCAGCCAUACUUGCAUCUUUGCUUGGAUCAUGUGCCAAUAAGUUGCAAAACAUCAUUACCGAUGAGGCCAUACUAAUCCUUGGCGUGGAAGAAGAUCUCAGAGAAGUCCUGCAGCGAGUAGAACUAAUACAGUGUUGCAUAUACGAUGCUGAGAAAAGGAGGACAAAAGAGCUAGCAGUAAACAAUUGGCUCGGCCAACUAAGAGAUGUUAUAUAUGAUGUUGAUGAAAUCCUGGACGUGGCUAGGUGUAAAGGAAGCAAGCUACUACCUGACGAUCCUUCAUCAUCAUCAACCACAUCGGCUGCAUGUAAAGGCCUCUCGGUUUCCUCUUGCUUUUGUAACAUCUGGUCACGUCGUGAUGUUGCUGUUCGGAUUAGAAGCCUCAACAAAAAAAUAGAGAACAUUUCAAAGGACACGGUAUUCUUCACACUCGACACUAAUAUACAGCCUACCAGAAAUGUUGCAACAUCCAAACUGAUAAGAAGCUCCAACCUUGUCGAGCCCAACCUUGUGGGGAAGGAGAUCAAAUAUGCUAGCAGGAAGCUGGUGGACUUAGUUGUUGCCCACAAGAAAAGUAAGUCUUACAAGCUUGCUAUUGUUGGAAAGGGAGGAGUUGGUAAGACAACACUAGCUCAGAAAAUAUACAAUGAUCAAACAAUAAAAGGAAGUUUCAAGAUACACGCAUGGAUUUGUGUUUCACAAGACUACAAUGAAGUAACUCUUCUUAAAGAGGUUCUCCGGAAUAUUGGUGUGCAUCAUGAGCAAGGUGAAACCAUAACCGAGCUCCAGAGGAAGCUUGCAGAAACAAUUGAAGGGAAGAGUUUCUUUCUGGUUCUAGAUGAUGUCUGGCAUUCCAAUGUAUGGAUGGAUCUAUUAAGGCCUGCAUUACAUGAAACAACAUCCGGAGUAAUAUUGGUAACCACACGAGAUGAUCAAAUUACAAGGAGAAUAGGUGUGCAGCAUAUCCAUCGAGUUGAUCUCAUGUCAGUAGAGGUGGGAUGGGAGCUACUUUGGAAGAGCAUGAACAUUGAUGAAGAGAAAGAAGUGCAGAAUUUGAGAAACACAGGGAUUGAGAUUGUUCGUAAAUGCGGUCGCCUCCCUCUUGCAAUCAAGGUAACUGCUAGUGCAUUGGCAAGCAGAGAUCUGACGGAGAAUGAGUGGAGAAAGUAUUUGGACAAAUAUGUUGGCUCCCACAACAUGAUCUCGGAUGAAAUCCAAGGAUCUCUGUAUCUAAGCUAUGAUGAGUUACCACAUCGUCUUAAGCAGUGUUUCCUAUAUUGUGCUCUGUAUGCUGAAGAUUCUAUCAUUUGGCGUAAUAAAGUUACCUGGUUAUGGAUUGCUGAAGGAUUCAUAGAGGAGCGGCAAGGCCAACUAAUAGAAGAUGUAGCAGAAGAGUACUACUACGAGCUAAUCCACCGUAAUCUCCUCCAAGCAGAUAUCUUAUAUUUUGGCAUGGUUGCCUCCAAAAUGCAUGACCUCUUAAGACAACUUGCACUGAACAUAUCAAGAGAAGAAUGUUUUAUUGGAGAUGUUGAAACAUUAAGGGGUGUAAAUAUGUCAAAACUGCGACGUGUUACUGCUGUUACUAAGAAGGAUAUGUUGGUGUUAUCUAGAGUGGAUAAGGUGGAUGUUAAGGUCAGGACUUUCCACGGAGGGAGUAGUAAGUUGAGGAAGCUUGUCAAUGUUGAAGAUGCACAAGUACCCUGUUUAUGGAUGUGUAACGAGCCGGUGAAGAAAGAAAUUGUCCUGUUUUCCUUUGGGCAGGUGCCCAGGAAAUACUGUAUCGAGUUUCGUUUUGUUUAUUUCUGA
rnacentral:rRNA from 1 species